rnacentral:rRNA from 1 species
UAGGGAAUCUUCCGCAAUGGACGCAAGUCUGACGGAGCAACGCCGCGUGAGUGAAGAAGGAUUUCGGUUCGUAAAACUCUGUUGUUAGAGAAGAACAGCGCAUAGAGUAACUGUUAUGCGUGUGACGGUAUCUAACCAGAAAGCCACGGCUAACUACGUGCCAGCAGCCGCGGUAAUACGUAGGUGGCAAGCGUUGUCCGGAUUUAUUGGGCGUAAAGCGCGCGUAGGCGGUUUUUUAAGUCUGAUGUGAAAGCCCACGGCUCAACCGUGGAGGGUCAUUGGAAACUGGAAAACUUGAGUGCAGAAGGGGAAAGUGGAAUUCCAUGUGUAGCGGUAAAAUGCGCAGGGAUAUGGAGGAACACCAGUGGCGAAGGCGACUUUCUGGUCUGUAACUGACGCUGAUGUGCGAAAGCGUGGGGAUCAAACAGG